rnacentral:lncRNA from 1 species
UGCAGUAUAAUUGGAGCAACAAUAAUCUCAAUUGGUCUAUAUGGUGUAUUAUGGGGCAAAGCAACAGAAGAGAUAGAGGAAGAUGUUGGUAGUUUGGAGUCACCAUCUAUAGAGAAUGCACCAUUGUUGCANNNNNNNNNNNGUCGAUUCAUGAAUCAAAUCUUAUAACAAAUCGUAAGAUACAAUGUGAUAAAAAUAUAACAUUUUGACACAAGAGUCACAUAUUAUUGGACAACGUACAAAAUACACUCGAGUUAUUCUUUGCUUUGAUUCAAUGAGAGAAAAAAUAAUAAUAAAAAUCAAAUCCGUAUUAUUAAUAUAUAGUGUCGAAUUUCAGUUGUUGUGUCAAGAUAACUUUUCUGCAAGUAAAAACUCUUCACCAUGUUGUUGCCCCUUUAAAGGAGAGUGAAAUGAAGGUUUUCUUAUCACAUUUUCAUAUGACACAGUUGUAAAAUGAUCACUAGUGCGAGACUUAGGAGACGCAAAAAGAAGAAAUCUAUAUAUGUAGUGUGUUAACAUACUUUAAAAUCAAUCAAUGAAAUCAAAUGAAUUUAUCAAAUUAGUGUAGAAUUCCGUAGAAUCUUAGCUUGGUAGGUUCAACAACCUUCAAAUAACAGUUUAGUCCUUAAAAUAUAAUGAUAACAUUAAUCAGGAAAACAAUAAUGAUGACAACAUGACUAAAAAUAAUAUAAUAACCAGGUCUUUGACAUAUAUUAAUUUAAGACAACUAACUUUAACUUUACUUUUGGUUUUUGAUUAAAAAAAUGCUCAAACUCAAAACCUCAACUUCAAAACAAAAACAUCUAACAAAUAUUCUGAACUAAGGUUUGUGAUUGUUGUGCAAAUGAUUAAACAUAGAAUUCACAUAAAACAUGACAAGAACAUGGUCCUUUUACAUGGAUUUUCUGCCAGUUAUAGUGAUUAUAGGAAAUGAAUGUAUUGACAUGGGUUUACUCACUUUGUUCAAAGCAGCAACACUUGAAGGAAUGAACAAUCAUGUCUUUAUUGCUUAUGCUUAUGCUGUUGGUACUUCUGUUCUUUUCCCUGUCACUCUUUUCACCAGAAGGUUCAUAACAAUUGUUUAUUCAUUGCAUUAUCAUAAACAGACAACAUAUGUAUAUAACUUAGGAUAAAUAGUUGGUUAAUUUCUUCAUGUUUUUCUUUUCAUGUUUCUUUGUAGAUCAAGGGUGGUUCCUCCACUCACUUUCACCAUCAUAUGCAAAAUUGUGCUUCUUGGGACAAUAGGGUAAUUUCAAAAUGGUCUUAUAUUAAGGUCUUUAAUUCACUAAGAAGCGUCCUAACAUAUGUUUAGUAUCACGGUGGAUAUGUCAGAAUCACGGUAAUCCACCGUGAUUUUCCAAAAGCUACACUCUGCAGCUUCUGUAAAAUCAUGGUGAGUUACCGUGAUUCUGGCAUUUCCACCAUGAUACUAGAUCAUUUGAAUAUUCUAUGAGACUAAUCCUCGAGUCAGCUGUGGAAUAUCUAAAGUUUUUUACACGAGAUUAUAUUGAACUGUCUUUAGAUAUAAUCAAAGGGGUUACAUUAAUUUUAUGUUUCUGAUGGUUUUGCUUACUGUUUUGGAAUUUUUAUGGUUCUGUUAUGCAGAUGUACAUCUCAGAUUUUGGGGUAUAUUGGUAUUAGUUACAGUUCUCCAACACUUGCUUCAGCAAUUGCUAAUCUGAUACCUAUUUUCACUUUCAUGCUAGCAGUCACUUUCAGGUUUGCCAAUUUUAUUUGAUUUUGCCUAAUUCUUACCUUUCUAAAUUAAGUCAUUCUUGAAUAAACAACUUAAUUUAGUACUUAUAUCACAAAAACUUAUCAUGUAAAUGUUUUUAUAUAAGUUAUUUCUAUAACAAAAGAUAAAAUAAAGUCAAACUGAUUUCACAAAUGCAAACAAAGAGAGCUGUUUUUCUAUAAGUUAUUUCUAUAACCUAUAAGCUGUUUUUAUCAGCUAUCAAAGAGAGCUUAUGGAAAUAAGCUGCAAACAACUUAUGAACAUAUUAUAAGCUAUUUCCAUAAACUCCUCAAACAGUUUCACAAANNNNNNNNNNNNNNNNNNNNNNNNNNNNNNNNNNNNNNNNNNNNNNNNNNNNNNNNNNNNNNNNNNNNNNNNNNNNNNNNNNNNNNNNNNNNNNNNNNNNNNNNNNNNNNNNNNNNNNNNNNNNNNNNNNNNNNNNNNNNNNNNNNNNNNNNNNNNNNNNNNNNNNNNNNNNNNNNNNNNNNNNNNNNNNNNNNNNNNNNNNNNNNNNNNNNNNNNNNNNNNNNNNNNNNNNNNNNNNNNNNNNNNNNNNNNNNNNNNNNNNNNNNNNNNNNNNNNNNNNNNNNNNNNNNNNNNNNNNNNNNNNNNNNNNNNNNNNNNNNNNNNNNNNNNNNNNNNNNNNNNNNNNNNNNNNNNNNNNNNNNNNNNNNNNNNNNNNNNNNNNNNNNNNNNNNNNNNNNNNNNNNNNNNNNNNNNNNNNNNNNNNNNNNNNNNNUGAGCAUAUUAUAAGCUAUUUCCAUAAACUCCUCAAACAGUUUCACAAAUUCUUAUUUUUUCCUUCUUAUCAUUGCAAUUAAUUAAGGAUGGAAAAGUUAGCUGCAAAGAGUAGAAGUAGUAAUGCUAAGGUAAUAGGAAGCAUAAUCUCAAUAGCAGGUGCUUUUGUCUUGACAUUCUACAAAGGACCAUCCAUCAUGAAUUCUUCAUCACUUCAUCAACCAAUUGAUUUUCUCAAAUCAGUGGAUUCAAGUUGGGCCAUNNNNNNNNNNNNNNNNAUGCAAAUUGAGUGAUCAAUAUUUGACUGACACAAACACGAACACUGAUUGACUGUAAGCCUAUAACUACAUGUGUCAGUGUUACACUAACACAUAUAUCAGACUCCAGACACAAACACAUGUUAGACACCAGACACGUCUUCAUUGCAUCAUUUCUUGUUCUUUAAUGAGAGCUCCAAAAACAUUUAGUACUACAAAGUUUAACUUUCUAUAUUCAUUUCACAGGUACAUAUCUUGAAGGAGUUCCCAGAUGAACUAACUUUGGUCUUGUUAUACUCCAUAACAGCCACUAUCAUAUCAACAAUUGUAGCAUUGUUAUCAGUUCCAAAUUCAAGUGUUUGGAAAAUAGGAUUAAAUCUCUCAUUGAUCUCCAUUGUUUCUUCUGUAAGAUACACUUCAAAGUUCAAAACAUUGGUUCACUUUGACCAAAAUAGUUCACACUCUUUAUUGAUUUCACAUUUAUUUUUUCAGGGCAUUUUUGGAAAGUUAAUAGGCAAUACAAUUACUGUAUGGUCAGUGCACUUAAAGGGAGCUGUUUAUGUAACCUCAUUCAUACCAUUCCAAAUUGUUAUUUCUGUUGCCAUGAGUGUUAUGUUCCUUGGUGAUACUCUUCAUCUUGGAAGGUAUGGUUAAUUCAAUUUUUUUGCUUUUGAUUCGUUGCUUGAAUCAUAGGGAAGCAAAUAUACAAUGGUCCUUCCAGGUGAAAUUUGCAGAGGAUAGAUGUACCUAGUCUUACCUCUGCAAACAGCGAAACUUUUUAGGCUUUGAACUCGCGAGUUGUGACCUUGGGUCACAAGGCAACAAUUUUCCUGCCAAGACUCUCCUUCCAAAUGUAAAGAACUUGAUAUUCGACAAAAUCAUUUCUAUUUGACAUGUUGUGUCAAAUUUACUAUUAUGCAGCUUUUUAUGCCUUGUUUGGAUAAACAACUUAAAUAAGCAUUUAUAGCAUAAACACUUAUCAUAUACUAUUGUUUAUGUAUAAACUAUUUCUAUAACAAAAUAAAGUGAAACCAUUUUUAUAUAAGCUAUAAGUUGUUUUCAUAAGCUAUCUUGAAGAGUGUAUGAAAGUAAGCUUAGCUUAUGAAUAUGUCAUAAGUUCUUUCAAGUAGUUUAUGUAGAACAACAAUGCACAAAGAGCAAACAAUGAGCACGACUACGUCUGCGACUAUAGAACACUAUAAGUCAUACUCAACAUGGUUAUUCAUGAUUUUCUUGCUUAAUGAAAUGGUUGUUAAUUGAUGUUCAUUUGUGUACAUUCUUUCUGAAUUGUGCAGUAUAAUUGGAGCAACAAUAAUCUCAAUUGGCCUUUAUGCUGUAUUAUGGGGCAAAGCAACAGAAGAGAUAGAGAAAGAUGUUGGUACCUUGGAGUCACCAUCUACAGAAAAUGCACCUCUUUUGCGAAGUUAUAGAAUUGAUAAAACAUUUGAAAAUAAAACAAAUGGAAAUGUUUAAAAUAUGGUUAUUAUAUCAAGAUUCAAUUGUAAAUCAUUAUCCCUAUAAUAUAAUAGGAUGAUUUGAAUGAUCAACACUUAUUUGUAAACAAAAACACUAUUAAAUUCAAGAAAAGAGACUAAAAUUUAGCAAUUAUAGAGACCUAUUUAUUCCACAAGAAUAUUAACAUAGAUGACCGAGAUUAAAAAUAUCUCAGUUUUUGUAAAGAAUGCCAAUAUUAUUAGGCCAAAAACCGUCUUCAUUAUGAGUGAAAUACAAUUCCUCUCUUUUGUUUUAAUUUCUCUUAUUUAUUUCAUUAAUUAUAAUAUAUUAUUUUUAUGUUAAAAAUAAAAUAAAAUUGUGACUGCAAACAUGCAGAAAAUAUAAAUAGAAUUUGUUUCACCGUAUAAGAUGAAAAAUAAAGUUCUUUAUAAAAAAAAAUAAAAAAAAUGAAGUAAAAUGAAAAAAAGACAAAAAAUAAUAAAAUAAAACUAUAUAUAUUAUGUAUGCUAAUUCUAAAUUAUGUCUUGGUACUUUGUAGCCAAGUUGUCAUUUUCACCAUUGUUUGUAUUUUACAAUCAUGGACCCACUUUGGGCCAAAUUUUCAUGGUUCAAAAUAAAAAAUUGUACCUACUAAUAUUUAAUGAAAAGUUUGAGAUAUUUUGUCAUCACCAUUAUGAGAAAUCAAUUAAUUGUUUUUUUUUUGUUCUUAUUACUAUAAGGUAGUUUUUUUUGGUACAUAUAAGAAAUGACAAGCAAUGGAAAAUUCACACAUACAAAGUUGAGGGAUGAGGAUUCUAACCUGGUCAUGGCGUUCGACCUAACGAUUUUGACAUUUCUGCCGGUUAAGAUGGAAUCUGUGGAUUGUGAGCUAUUAACUAUUACUGUUACUAUAACAUAACAUGAAUGAAGCUUUGUCUUUCAUUAUGGUUUUUGUUUCAAAAGAUGGUCAAAAUUAAAACCAUAUCAUGAAAAACAUAUCAAAAAAAUUCUAAACUUCAACAAAAUUUGUGAUUGUUGUGACAGAAGGGACAGAAAAGAUGACAAGAAGAUGGUCUUUUUACAUGGAUUUUCUGCCAGUUGUGGUGAUCAUAGGAAAUGAAUGUAUUGACAUGGGUUUACUCACUUUGUUCAAAGCAGCAACACUUCAAGGAAUGAACAAUCAUGUCUUUAUAGNNNNNNNNNNNNNNNNNNNNNNNNNNNNNNNNNNNNNNNNNNNNNNNNNNNNNNNNNNNNNNNNNNNNNNNNNNNNNNNNNNNNNNNNNNNNNNNNNNNNNNNNNNNNNNNNNNNNNNNNNNNNNNNNNNNNNNNNNNNNNNNNNNNNNNNNNNNNNNNNNNNNNNNNNNNNNNNNNNNNNNNNNNNNNNNNNNNNNNNNNNNNNNNNNNNNNNNNNNNNNNNNNNNNNNNNNNNNNNNNNNNNNNNNNNNNNNNNNNNNNNNNNNNNNNNNNNNNNNNNNNNNNNNNNNNNNNNNNNNNNNNNNNNNACUGUUUUCACCAGAAGGUUCAUAAUAGUUGUUUAUUUAUUGUAAUAUCAUAAACAAAAAACAUAUGCAUAUGAUUUAGUGUCUGUUUAUUGACGGUGAGUUUGGCAGAAUCACGGUGUGCCACCGAGAUUUUGAAAAAAGAAUUAUGUUUUAGAAUUUCAGUAUAUGGUGUCACCAUGAUUUUGUCAAAUUCACCGUGAUUUUAGACAUCAACUUAAGACUUACAUUUCAUUUGACUAAUUUUUUCAUGUUUUUUUGCAGAUUAAGAUUUCUUCCUCCACUCAGUUUCUCAAUUAUAUGCAAAAGUAUGCUUCUUGGGGCAAUAGGGUAAUGACAAAAUGAUCUUAUACUUUACAUAGAUAAUUAAUUGUUAAGUCCUUUUUUUCCUGCUAAUCCACCGUAAUUAAGGUCUUUGACCCCACAGCUGAGGCCCUAUUGAGCUGCUAUGGAACUAGUCUUCGUGUCCGCAGUGAGACAUCCAAUUUUUUUCACCGGAGGUUGAAUUGUCUUCCAAAUAGACGAUUGUAGUGAUCAAACCAGGUUCUUUUCCUGGAGGGAGAGGAUCAUGUUAUCAAACUCUCCCAACACCGUGUCGAUAUGAACUCCUUUUGGUAUACUUGUAAUUUUGUUAUGGCUAGUGUUGAUGUUAGAUUGUUUUGGUCAAAGGGGUCUAUUUAAUUUUAUGUUUCUGAUGAUUUGUGUUUCAUAUUUUGGAAUUGUAUGGCCAUGUUAUGCAGAUGCACAUCUCAGAUUCUGGGGUAUAUAAGUAUAAAUUACAGUUCUCCAACACUUGCUUCAGCAAUUGCUAAUCUUGUACCUGCUUUCACCUUCAUGUUAGCUGUCACUUUCAGGUUUGUGGAAAAUAGUUGUAUGUUCAAAUUCCGCUAUGCAACAGUGCUAUUGACAACAAUUUGUACUGAAUAGUUUAUCGCAGAAUCAUAGCGAUUUGUUGAAAUUUCCCUACGCAUAUUGUUGUAUAGCCGCUAUUUAACAACUUUGGCCAGGAAUGAUAACUUAUUGUGACAAUUGAGUUUUGUCUAUAAAUCAUAGCCUAAUUCCUUAACAGAAUAAGCUAAUUAAAAUUUGAACUUAUGUACCAUAAUGAAAUAUCUUGGUCUAUUGUCUACUUAUUUUGUUUCUUGUUAUCAUUGCAAUGAAGGAUGGAAAAGUUAGCUGUCAAGAGUAGAAGUAGUAAUGCUAAGGUAAUAGGAAGCAUAGUAUCAAUAGCAGGUGCUUUUGUGUUGACUUUCUAUAAAGGACCAUCCAUCAUGAAUUCUUCGUCACUUCUUCAACCAAUUGGAUUUCUCAAGUCAGUGGAUUCAAGUUGGGCCAUUGCUGGCAUUCUGCUGACUAUUGACUAUUUUCUGGUUUCACUUUUUUACAUCUUACAGGUAAGAUUAGUAUUAUAUAACAUGAAAGUUAUACUUUAGAACAUAAAAUAAAAGUAUCAGACAAUGACACGUGUCAGACACCAGACACAUCUUCAAUCUGAAGUGUCGGUUCUACAUAGCUAUUUGCUAAAAUAUACCACUUGAACUUAAUUCUCUUUUCAAUAAUACGAGCGGCGCGCAGUUCUGUAAUUCAUACUUUCCAUCACUUCAUGUGAAUUUUACUCAAUAUACCACUAUAGAUUUUGUCAAAGUCACUGUAUACACCUAAAGUAGCAUUUUCUGUUCACUAAAAUAUGCUGCUAGUUUUUCAGACAUUCCAAGUCCAUUUUACUUACAAGUAAAUAUUAAUUUCUUCAUUUCUUGUUAUCUAAUGAGGGAUUAAGUUAGUAUUAGUACUAAAAAAUUUCAGUUCCUAUAUUCAUUUCACAGGUACAUAUCUUAAAAGAGUUCCCAGAUGAACUAACUUUAGUCUUGUUAUACUCCAUAACAGCCACCAUCAUAUCAACAGUUGUAGCAUUGUUAUCAGUUCCAAAUUCAAGGGCUUGGAAAAUAGGAUUAAAUCUCUCAUUGACCUCCAUUGUUUCUUCUGUAAGAUACACUUCAAAACUACUUCUACACUUUGACCAAAAUUAUUUACACUUCUUAAACUUUGCAGAAUUUAUUGAUGACACAUUUUCUUUUUUCAGGGAAUUUUUGGAAAGUUGAUAGGCAAUAUAGUUUAUGCAUGGGCAGUUCGUUUAAAAGGGGCUGUCUAUGUAACCUCAUUCAAGCCACUGCAAAUUGUUAUUUCUGUUUACUUGGGUGUUAUAUUCCUUGGUGAUAGUCUUUAUGUUGGAAGGUAUGAUUAAUUCAAUUUUUUAUUAUUUCGCAUUCGAUUCUUUCUUGAAACAUAGCGAAGCGAAUAUACAAUGCUUCUACUAGGUGAAGUAUGAGGAGUAUAGCUGUACGUAGUCUUAUCUCUGAAAGUAGAGAGAUAUUUUUCGGAUUUGAACUUGUGACCUCAGGUCACAAGGCAACAACUUUACCGCCAAGAUUCUACCUUCAAACGCGAAGGUUCUAUCUGUCAAAGUCAAUCAUAUUGCACCUGUGCUUUAAGAUGUUAUGUAAAGUUUACUAUUAUGCAGCUGUUUAUCCAAUUUAGGCCUUGUUCCAAUAAACUGUUUAAUUAAGCGUUUAUAGUAGAAACGCAACGCUUCUGAUAUCAGCGUUUAUAUAUAAGCUAUUUCUAUAACAAGAAAAAAAUAACCUCAUUAUUUUCAUAUAAGCUAUAACCAAUUUUCAUAAGCUAUUCUAGAGAGCUUAUGAAAAUAAGCUGAAAAUGGAUUAUGGACAUGUUAUAAGCUGUUUCUAUAAGCUUUUUCAAACUGUCUCAAAAGUGCUUAUACCAGUAGAUAGGUUCAAAUAAGUUAAUCUAAACAGACUCGCGGUUUAGUUUAGUAGUCUGCAUGUACCUUUACUCAAAACCAUGUGUGCUUAUUUAACCUUAACCAUAAACCAGCCACAUUUUAGCAUUAUUGUUGCUCAUUUAUGAUUUUCCAACUUAAUGACAUGGUUGUUAAUUGUUGUUCACUUGUGUACAUUCUUUCUCAAUUCUGCAGUAUAAUUGGAGCAACAAUAGUCUCAGUUGGUCUUUAUGGUGUAUUAUGGGGAAAAGCAUCAGAAGAGAUAGAGGAAGAUAUCGGUAUCUUGGAGUCACCAUCUACAGAGAAUGCACCUCUGUUGCCAAGUUAUAGAACUUAUCAAACUUUUGAAAAGAAAACAGAUGGAAAUGUUUAAAAACACGGUCAUGAAAUCGUGAUUCAAUCAGGAAUCAAAAGUCGUAUACAUCGAAUCAUGUGUCAUAAGAUACAUGCGUCAUGCGCAAUGAAAGUUUGACAUUUUAAGUAAAAACAAGUGAUAUAUGUAAAUAUUAUAAGUUGGUAUAUCAUAUUCAAACCUUGAAAUAAAUCGAGAUUUAAGUCAUAAACCAAAAUGGCAAAAGAAAUAGGUUUAAUUUAAGGAAAACUAUUGAUUUAUCUAAAUUUAUCGAGAUUCAUGUGUAAAAUGUAUAUGUAGAACAAUUAAUAUUGACCUGAGUUAGUUUAUUUCGAAUCGAGAUACGCCUUUGACGACAUGUAUAGUAUGACAUUGAUAGCCAUGUUUAAAAAGACAAGUAAAAACUCUUCACAUUAAAACAUGAAGUGAAGUUUCCAUUUCUAAAUUCUAACCAUUUACUCUUCCUAGAUACCAUUGUCAGUUUCUAUAUCAUUAUUGGAUGUUCUUAUAUUUCUUAAAUGAAAAGCUUUUUCUCCAAAAAAUGUCCAUUGGUGAAAGAGGCUAGAGUUUCAAUAAUAUGAAUUACAUAAUUUCUUAAAAUGAAGGUCACAAAGAUAAAAAAAAUAAAGUAAAAGGAAUCUUAUUUGUCCAUUUGUGUAACAUAGCUUUCCCUGCUGAAAUGUCAAAUUUGUUUGUUCUAAAGAAGUCACUAGUCAUUGACAUUACCUUAUCUAAUCUAAUAGUUUUAAAUUCUUGUUAACUAUUAUACAUAUAGAAUUUUAACUACAAAAAACGUAUUGUUACGCGUACAAUUGCACGCCCUAAACAUGUUCAGGACACCGUCAGUGUAAUUCUACAGUCUCAUACUAUUGAUUGUGGUUUGUUUAAGGUGUAAAUUUUUUGAAAAACUCUUAUUGGUUUCUGGUAAAUUUUCUAGAUUAUAUAUAAUGAAUAGUAAAUAUAGUAUAUGAAAUUUGAAGUGUACUAAAGGGUAUCUGUAAGACAGAAGUCUUGGCUGUAAGGGAUGGACAGAAGGUACUGUUACAAAGAUUUGCUACCUUUUAUGGUUCUUGUUGGCAAUGAAUGCAUCAUAACAGGAGUAUACACUUUGUUCAAAGCAGCAACUUUGCAAGGAAUGAGUAAAUAUGUCUUUGUUGCUUAUUCUUAUACUGUAUCAACUAUCUUCCUCUUUCCUGUGUAUUUUUUUUAUAGAAGGUUUGUAUAAUUACAGUUUUUUAUUGCAAAAUACUGUCUUAAUUAGUACAUGUUUAGAUUAUUGACAGUGAUUAAUGAUUGUUUUUUCAUGUUCUUUUCAGAUCAAGAGUGGUUCCUCAACUCCGUUUCUCCAUCUUAUUUAAAAUUGCACUUCUUGGAGUCAUAGGGUAAGUAAUAAUACUAAAAGGUUUUUUAUAUUUAGUUUGUCUUGGAAUAGAUUUUAGUCUCCAAAAUUUACAAUACAAUUAACAAUCCUCGAUACUCCAUAUAGCUUUUCUAGUCGACUGUUGGACUAUUUAGUUGAUUUUAUGUUAGAUUGUUGGAUAGCUAUAAAAACACUUUUGAGCUUGUUUGUGUGUGCUUACUUACGAAAAGAACUUACGACAUGUCUAUUGGUUUGGAUUUUGGUGGCUAUGAAUAUUUGAAGAUGUUCAGCUCAGAUUAUGGGGUAUGCUGGCAUCAGUUACAGUUCUCCUACACUUUCCUCUGCAAUUGGAAAUCUAAUUCCUGCUUUCACAUUCAUGUUAGCUGCCAUUUGCAGGUUUCAUCCACUUUUUUUCAACUGACAAUUUUUUUCUUCUUUUCAUCUUAGUUUAUUUUGUUAAUAUUUUGAACAAUUUAAGGAUGGAAAAGUUAGCUAUAAAAAGUAGAACUACACAAGCUAAGGUUUUGGGAAGCAUUAUAUCAAUAUCAGGUGCAUUUAUAGUGACUUUCUACAAAGGAAAAUCAAUUAUCAUUGCUCAUAUUUCCUCUUCCUUUUAUCUUCAACACUCCUCAAAUGGCAUUCUUGCAUCAGUAGAUAUAAAUUGGUCCAUUGGUGGCCUUUUGCUGACAGUAUCCAAUAUACUACUUACCAUAUGGUUCAUUGCUCAGGUAUAUAUUUUGUUACCAAAUUGAAGGUGUGUCUGAUGUCUGACACUUAUCAUUAUCGGACAUGAUAUUGACACAUGUGGUAGAUUCAGUUAUUUUAAUUUUUCAAAUCAUUAUUAGUAUUGACGUGUCACUUUCGUAUUUGGUGUUUUGUAUAUGCGUGUCAGUGUUUCAUAGAUUAUAUUUACUUUCUACUAAUAAUUUUGAAUUCUGAUAUAUAUAUGUUCAUUUUGAAGGUUGAAAUCAUGAAGGAGUUUCCAGAUGAACUAACUUUGGUCUUCUUUCACAACUUAUUUGCAACCAUUUUGGCUUUAGGUGUAGGUUUAUUAGCAGAGACAAAUAGUAGUCUUUGGAAUAUAAGACUAGACAUAUCACUGAUCUCUAUUGUCUGCACGGUAAGAUAAGAUAUCCCUAACACUUCUUUUUCUCACUGACACAUGAAACUGACAAAAUAUGAUUAAUUCAUGCACACUGUUAAUGUAAAGUUAUUUUACACCGUAGAUCAGUUAUAAUUGUCAGAUAACUUAAAAUGUUUUAGGAGUCAUGACAUAUAUGAUUUGUUGAUAGUGUCAAAUAUUUUACACUAUUAACAGUGUCUCAAAAUUAAACUUAUGUACUUAACUAAUGCAGCUAAUUGAUUAUGUUAUGAUGUAUUUAUUCUUAGGGAAUAUUUGGCAAGUUCCUGAGUAGUGCAGUAUAUGCUUGGGCAAUACACUUAAAGGGUCCUGUAUAUGCAACAAUGUUCAAGCCACUUUCAAUUAUUAUUGCUGUUGUCAUGGGUAUGGUGUUCCUUGGUGAUACUCUUCAUAUUGGAAGGUCAGCAUAUAUUGUUUUUAUAUUUGAUUCUAGUUUACAAAGAAAGUAUAUAAUGUUUAAAAUAAGAAUAAGAGAAAUUACAUAAAUUGGGGGCCUAAGCCAAAACCUGAUAUAAACAACCAAGGGCAUAAAUAACAUGCCUUGUUAAAAAAACUUACCGCAAUUUCAUGCAUAGCCCUAAUGAGCCCUGCAUGAAAACAAUAGAUAUAUUUAAGUUUUGAGCGAAACAGCUCACAACAGCAACCCUAAUACCACCACACACAGCUGGUCCAGGGUAACCAUUUGUUGUACCAUCUGUGUUGCAUUUGAUCUUGGAAAAAAUAGGUGGAUGCCAUAUAACCUCUUUAAUCCGAGGAGCAUUGGGAGCAUGGAUUAAAAUAGAAAAGGUCUUAAGUAUCACAAAAUCAUGCAUAGCUGAGAAAGAGGUCCCUACAGCAAGAGAAGUAUUGGAGAUCACCAAAAGAGAGGCCGAUUUCCAAGAAAUAAUCUUACCAAAGAAAAUAUUUUUGAAUUUAUGAGGCACGAUUGAUACAUAUAAGGAAAAUGAAAAUAGCUAUAAGUUACUUCUAUAAGUUUUUUCAAACAGUCUCACAAGUACUUAUACUAAUAGAUAAGUUCAAAUAAGUCAAUCUAAAGAGACACUUGGUUUAGUUUAGUAGCAUGCAUGUUUCUUUUCAUUUGGGAACAACCUUCACUCAAACAAGAUAACCAGACAUGUGUGCUUAUUCAUCCUCAACCAUAAACCUGCCACAUUUUAGCAUUUUUCUUGCUCAUUUAUGAUUUUCCAACUUAAUGAUAUGGUUGUUGAAGUGUUCAUUUGCGUAUAUUCUUUAUGAUUUUGCAGUAUAAUUGGAGCCACAGUAAUCUCAAUUGGUCUUUAUGCUGUAUUAUGGGGAAAAACAUCAGAAGAUAUAAAGAAGGAUAUUGUUGGUACCUUUGAGUCACCAGAGAAUGCACCUCUGUUGCAAGGUUAUAGAACUUAUCAAACCUUUGAAAAGAAAACAGUUGCAAAUGUUUAGAAACACGGUCAUCAAAUCGAGAUUCAAUCAUGACUCAAAAGCCCUAUACACCAAAUCAUGAAUCGUAAGAUACAUGCGUUACACGCAAUGAAAGUAUGAUAUUUUAAGUAAAAACAAGUGAAAUAUGUAAAUAGUGUAAGUUGAUAUAUCAUAUUCAAACUUCGAAAUAAAUGGAGAUUUAAGUCAUAAACCAAAAUGGCAAAAGAAAUAGGUUUAUUGUCCAAAGUUGUCAAAAAAAAGUGUGGCCGGCUACGUACACAGGUUUAAUUUAAGGGAAACUAGUGAUUCAUCUGAAUUUAUCGGGAUUCGUGUCUAAAGUGUAUAUGUAGAACAGUUAAUAUUGACAUGAUUUAGUUUUAUUUCGAAUCGAGAUACACCUUUGACACCAUGUAUAGUAUGGCAUUGAUAGCCAUGUUUAAAAAGACAAGUAAAAAUUCUUCACCUUCAUUAAAACAUGAAGUGAAGUUUCCAUUUCUAAAUUCUAAACCAUUUACUCUUCCUAGAUAGCAUUGUCAGUUUCUAUAGCAUUAUUGGAUGUCCUUAUAUUUCUUAAAUGAAAAGCUUUUUCUCCAACAAAAAUGUCCAUUGGUGAAAGAGGCUAGAGUUUCAGUAAUAUGAAUAACAUAAUUUCUUAAAAUCAAGUUCACAAGGAUAAAAUAAAAGGAAUAUCUUAUUAAUAUUAACCCAAGAAUAUUGUGGUGCCUGCCGCCAUAGAACCUGAAUAUUCACGGAGGAGNNNNNNNNNNNNNNNNNNNNNNNNNNNNNNNNNNNNNNNNNNNNNNNNNNNNNNNNNNNNNNNNNNNNNNNNNNNNNNNNNNNNNNNNNNNNNNNNNNNNNNNNNNNNNNNNNNNNNNNNNNNNNNNNNNNNNNNNNNNNNNNNNNNNNNNNNNNNCCAUCCAAAUCGUAUGAAUUGUAUGCAAGAUGUCAGCCAAAGCAAUGUCACGCAGCAGCAGACGAACAGCAGACAGACAACGUAGCAGCAUGUCAACAGGCGAAGAAAAAUCAAAUUUACAUCGUAGUUUACCUUCCAGCCACACCCAAAUGGAGCGCGCAAACUGACAAUCAAAAAACAAGUGACGAGUAGUCUCAUAAGCAUGCAAACAGAGGGCGCAAACAGAAACCAAAACACAUCCUCUCGACCGAAGAUUAUCAUCCGUUGGCAUACGAUUAUGGAUAAUGCGCCACAUUAGAAAUGAACAUGAGGGUGGAAUGAAAUUGCACCAUAUCAAAGUUGCCAUGAGACAGGUGGUGGCUUUGGAAAUAGAUGUAAGCAUCACGAGCUGAUAACAUCCCGUCCUUAGUGUUCUUCCAGCGAGACGAUCAACAACAUCAUAACGAGGUAAUGUAAUCGCCAAAAUCUCGUCCGUCAACCAAGGAGCCAUGUCAUUAAUUAAAUCAGGAACUGUCCAUUGUCCAUUCUCAAUUAAAUUCUCCACCGCCUUAGCCGUAAGAGGGGUGCUGCAUAUGCAAGGGAAUAUUCAAAGCCUCCACAAGCUUUUUCUCCAAAUGAUAAAUGUCCAUUGGUGAUGUGAAAGAGGCUAGAGUUUCAAUAAUAUGAAUAACAUAAUUUCUUAAAAUGAAGGUCACAAAGAUAAAAUAAAAUAAAAGGAAUCUUAUUUGUCCAUUGAUGUGUAACAUAGCUUUCCCUGCUGAAAUGUCAAAUUGGUUGGUUCUCAAGAAGUCACUAGUCAAUUGUGAAAAAAGAAAAAGAAAAAGAAGUCACCACUCACAUUACCAUGGGCCCUUUCCCUCCAUCCAUAUAGAUAUUUUCGUAAGUUAUUUACUAUUUUCAUGUACUUAUUUUAUAAUUUUAUUUUAUUGUUAACUAUUUUCUCCGUGCUUAAUUAUAAGUACUCUUUAAAAGAAGUUUUUUGUCUCUAAAUAUAAGCUCAUUUUCAUGUUUCAAAACAUAUUUAUUAUUUUUUUCAAACAUAACCCUAUUUAAUACUAUUACUUUACGGUGAGGCCUACUAUACACAUUCAUAAUUUGAGGGUAUUUAUCCAUUAACCAAUAAAAACAAACCAUACAAGUGAAUUUGCACGUGGUAUCCACAACUAACUUGUAACAAACUUUUGAAUUUGCAUAUGACUUGUUCUUAUUGGUUGAUAAGUAAAUACACUCAAAUCAUGAAAGAUUAGAUUAGAAAAAACAUGUUUUGCCUCUUGUCGAGGUUCUUUCUUCUUUUACAUUGUAAUAUUUAAAAUCAAACCGGAAAUAAUCAUUUUACAAAGUACAAAAAACGUGUUGUUACCCAUACAAUUGCACACCUUAAACAUGUUCAAAGACACUGUCAUUGUACAUAUUUUUUAUAGACUAAAGGGUGUGUCUGUAAGACUAAAGUACUCUAGUUCUUAGGGAUGGAUAGAAGAUAUUGUUACAAAGAUUUGCUACCAUUUGUGGUUCUUGUUGGCAAUGAAUGCAUGAUAACAGGAGUAAACACUUUGUUCAAAGCAGCAACUUUGCAAGGAAUGAGUAAAUAUGUGUUUGUUACUUAUUCUUAUACUUUUGCAACUAUCUUCUUCUUUCCUGUCUAUUUUUUCUAUAGGUUUGUGUAAUUCCAGUUGUUUAUUGUAAAUCAUAUGCAUAUAUAUAACUUAACUGUCUUAAUUAGUGCAUGUUUAGAUUAAUGAUUGUUUUUUCAUGUUCUUUUCAGAUCAAGAGUGGUUUCUCAACUCAGUUUCUCCAUCUUAUCUAAAAUUGCUCUUCUUGGAGUCAUUGGGUGAGCAAUACUAAAAUUUAGUUUGUCUUGGAAUAGCUUUUAGGGCUUGUUUGGAUUGACUUAUUUUUGAGCUUAUGCAAAACAAGUUAUACAAAUAAAUAAGUUUUUAUGUAUUAUUAUAAGUUUGUCAAGAUAGUUUAUGAAAAAAUAGCUUAUAAAAAUACAAUUUUAGUUAGUGAGAACUUAUGAAUUAACCCCAAAACUUAUUUAUUUGUAUAAGUUGUUUUGCAUAAGCUCGAUUAUUGGACUAUAUAGUCGAUUUUAUGUUAGAUUGUACCUUCUUGUCUUUCAGUCAACUGUUAGAUUAUUAUUUGGUCGGUUUUAGGUACAUUGGACCUUCUUAAGUGUCUUGCAGUCAAUUAUUGGACUAAUUAGUCGGUUUUAGGUUACAUUGUACCUUCUCAAGAGUCUUGCAGUUGACUACUGUCGAACGGAUUGGAUUAUUUGAACUUAUUUAGUUACAUAAACACUUGUGAGACUGUUUGUGAGAGCUUAUAGAAAGAAAAAAAAUUAGGACAUGUUCAUAAGCUUGAUUUCAUAAGCUCUCUAGGAUAGCUAUGAAAAUAGUUUAACUUUAUUUUAUAUUUUGUUCUAGAAAUAGCUUAUACAUAAGAACUUAUAUGAUAAAUGUUUAUGCUAUAAGUAUCAUUAAGAGUCUGUUUAGAUUGACUUAUUUGAGUAUAUCUAUUGGCAUAAGAACUUAUAUAAACAGCUUAUAGCUUAUAUGCUAGUAAUUUAACUGUUUAUCCAAAUAGUGGCUAAUUCUUGUACUUGUUGUGUUUAUGCCAUGAAUAUUUGAAGAGGUUCCGCUCAGAUUUUGGGGUAUACUGGCAUCAGUUACAGUUCUCCUACACUUUCCUCUGCAAUUGGAAAUCUCAUUCCGGCUUUCACCUUCAUUUUAGCUGCUAUUUGCAGGUUUCAGCCACUUUCUUUCAACUGACAAUUUUUUUUCUUUUCAUCUUAGUUUAUUUUGUUAAUAUUAUGUAUUAUAUUUUUAUUUUGUUAAUAUUUUGUAACAAUUUAAGGAUGGAAAAGCUAGCUAUAAAAACUAGAACUACACAAGCUAAAGUCUUGGGAAGCAUUAUAUCAAUAUCAGGUGCAUUUAUAGUGACUUUCUACAAAGGAAAAUCAAUUAUCAUUGCUCAUAAUUCCUCUUCCUUUCAUCUUCAACACUUCUCAAAUGGCAUUCUUACAUCAGUUGAUAUAAAUUGGGUCAUUGGUGGCCUUUUGCUGAUAGUAUCCAAUAUACUAAUUACCAUAUGGUUCAUUGUUCAGGUAUAUAUUUUGUUACCAAAUAUUGGAAUAUAUACAAUAAGGUCUAUGUUAUGUAGCAUCGAAACUUCAGAUUAAAGGUGUGUCCAUUGUCCAGUGUCUGACACUUGUCAUUAUCGGACAUGACAAUGGCACAUGUGGCUAGAUUCAAUUAUGUGUUAGUGUCGUGUGUGGUGUCUGUAUCUGUGCGUCAGUGCUUUAUAGAAUAUAUUUACUUUCUAAUAAUUUUGAUUUCUGAUUUUUAUGUUCAUUUUGAAGGCAGAAAUCAUGAAGGAGAUUCCAGAUGAACUAACUUCGGUCUUCUUUCACAACUUAUUUGCAGCCACUUUUGCUUUUUGCGUAGGUUUAUUAGCAGAGACAAAUAGUAGUCUUUGGAAGAUAAGACUGGACAUAUCAUUGAUCUCUAUUGUCUGCACCGUAAGAUAAGAUACCCCUAACACAUGAAAACUAAAAAAAUAGGAAUUCAUAUACACCGUUAGUGUAAAGUUAUUUUACAAUGUCAAUUAAUUAUAACAACCAGAUCAUUAAAUAUGAUUGCUAGUGAUUUGCUGAUAGUGUAAAAUAUUUUACAUUACUGACAGUGUAUCGAAAUUAAACUUAUGUACUUAACUAAUGCAAUUUAUUGAUUAUGUUAUGAUGUACUUAUCCUUAGGGAAUAUUUGGCAAGUUCAUGGGUAAUGCAAUAUAUGCUUGGGCAAUACACUUAAAGGGUCCUGUAUAUGUAGCAAUGUUCAAGCCGCUCUCAAUUGUUAUUGCUGUUGUCAUGGGUAUGGUGUUCCUCGGUGAUACUCUUCAUAUUGGAAGGUGAGUAGUUUUUAUGCUUAUAUUAGUAGAUAACUUCAAAUAAGUUAAUCGAAACAGACUCUAGCCUGCAUGUAUCUUUUCAUUUAGGAACAACCUUUACUCAAACUAGAUAACCAAAUCAUGUGUAUUCAUCCUCAAUCAUAAACUAGACACAUUUUAGCAUUUGUCUUGCUCAUUUAUGAUUUUCCAGCUUAAUGAUAUCGUUGUUGAAGUGUUCAUUUUGUGUAUACUCUUUAUGAUUUUGCAGUAUAGUUGGAGCUACAAUAAUCUCAAUUGGUCUUUAUGCUGUAUUAUGGGGAAAAGCAUCAGAAGAGAUAGAGGAAGAUGUUGGUACCUUGGAGUCACCAUCUACGGAGAAUGUAGCUCUGUUGCAAAGUUACAGAACUGAUCAAACUUUUGAAAAGAAAACAGAUAGGAAUGUUUAAAAACACGGUCAUCAAAUCGAGAUUCAAUCAUGAAUCAAAAGCCCUAUACAUCGAAUCAUGUACAUUUGUGACGCACAAUGAAAGUAUGACAUUUUAAGUGAAAACAAGUGAUAUAUUCAAACCUUGAAGAAAUAGGUUGAUUGUACAAAGUUGUCAAAAAAAAGUCAUAAAUCAAAAUGGCAAAAGAAAUAGGUUGAUUGUACAAAGUUGUAAAAAAAAAGUGUGGCCGGCUGCACGGGUUUAAUUUAAGGGAAACCAGUAGUUCAUAUGAAUUUAUCGAGAUUCAUGUGUAAAAGAAAUAUGUAGAACAAUUAAUAUUGACUUGAUUUCGAAUCGAGAUACAACCUUGAUGUUAUGUAUAGUAUGAUAUUGAUAACCAUGUUUAAAAAGACAAGUAAAAGCAUUUCACAUUCAAACAUGAAUUGUAGUUUCCAUUUUAGUAAAUGAAAAAUUAGUCAAAAAAUAAAAAGUAAAUGAAAAAUUAAAAAGGUAUCUUAUUUGUCCGUUUGUUCAACAUGGCUUUGCCUGCUGUAAUUAGAGUUACCGGUCACUGACAUUACCUUGGGCCAUUUCCCUCCAUAAUUGAAGUACUAUUCUCAUGUCUUAUCUAAUAAUUUUUCUUGUUAACUAUUACACGUACAGAUAUUUUAAGUGAAAAAAAUAGGCUUAAUUGCAAUUUUAGUGCUUACAUUUUCACCAUUCUGCGACAUUGGUCCCACUGUUUUAAAAUUUGACAGUUUUGACUACUCCAUUGAAAUAUUUGAUCAAAAAUAUGACACCAUCUUAAAAUUGAUAGUUGAGCAGCUCAACCCUAUAAAACAGAUCUGUAAGGCGAGAAUUGUCUUUACCUUUUAAACAUAUCUUCAGACCAUCUCGUAAUCGAUGUGAGAUUUCUUGACACAAUAUAGAACCAAAACUAUCAAAUUUUGAAAUAGAGGGACCAAAUCCGCAAAAGUAUUAUUGCAUGUACAGUUGCACAACAUGUUGAGGAUACCAUCAUCGUACAUAUUAUUUAGACUAUCAAUUAAUUAUAAGAUAUCACAUCAACUUCAACCAUAACAUGUUUUAAAGUCACAUAUAAGAUUGAUACUACUUUUGCAAAAACUCCUAUUGGUUUCUGCUAACUUUCUUAGAUUAUAUAUAACUGAUAUAGUAUAUGAAAUUUGAAUUUUGAAGUGUACUAAAGUUGUGAGGGAUGGACAGAACCUACUGUUACAAAGAUUUGCUACCUUUUGUGAUUCUUGUUGUCAAUGAAUGCAUGACAACAGGAGUAAACACUUUGUUCAAAGCAGCAACUUUGCAAGGAAUGAGUAAAUAUGUGUUUGUUACUUAUUCUUAUACUUUUGCAACUAUCUUCUUCUUUCCUGUCUAUUUCUUCUAUAGAAGGUUUGUAUAACUCCAGGUGUUUAUUGUAAUGUAUACAUAACGCUAUCGUAGUGUAUGUUUAGAUUGACAAUGAUUAAUAAUUGUUUUUUCGUGUCUCGAACUUUUCAGAUCAAGAGUGGUUCCUCAACUCAGUUUCAACAUCUUAUUUAAAAUUGCUAUUCUUGCAGUAAUAGGGUAAGUAAUACUAAAAGGUCUUUUUAGUAUUUAGUUUGUCGUGGAAUAGGUUUUAGUCGACUAUUGGACUAUUUAGUAGGUUUUAGGUUACAUUGUACCUUCUCAGGAGUCUUCCAGACAAUUGUUGGACUAUUUAGUCGGUUUUAGGUUACAUUGUACCUUCUCAAGAGUCUUCCAGUUGACUGUUGAACGAAUUGGAUUAUUUGAGCUUAUGUAGUAACAUAGGCACUUGUGAGACUAUUUGUGAGAACUUCUAGAAAAAACUUAUGACAUCUUCAUAAGUUUAUCUCCAGGAUAGCUAAGAAAAUAGUUAAACAUUAUUUUAUAUUUUGUUAUAGAAAUAGCUUAUACAUAAGCACUUAUAUGAUAAAUGUUAUGCUAAUAUUUAUUGGUUUGGAUUUUGGUGGCCAUGAAUAUGUGAAGAUAUUCAGGUCAAGUAUUAGGGUAUGCUGGCAUCAGUUACAGUUCUCCUACACUUUACUCUGCAAUUGCAAACCUCCUUCCUGCUUUCACCUUCAUUUUAGCUGUCAUUUGCAGGUUUCAUCCACUUUCUUUCAACUGAAAAAUCUUUUUUUCUUUUCAUCUUAGUUUAUUUUGUCAAUAUUAUGUUUUAUAAUUUUAUUUUGUUAAUAUUUUGUAACAAUUUAAGGAUGGAAAAGCUAGCUAUAAAAAGUAGAACUACACAAGCUAAGAUUUGGGGAAGCAUUAUAUCAAUAUCAGGUGCAUUUAUAGUGACUUUCUACAAAGGAAAAUCAAUUGUCUUUGCUCAUAAUUCCUCCUCCUUUCAUCUUCAACUCUCAAAUGACAUUCUUACAUCAGUUGAAACAAAUUGGGCCAUUGGUGCCCUUUUUCUGACAGUAUCAAAAAUACUAUUUACCAUAUGGUUCAUUGUUCAGGUAUAUAUUUUGUAACCAAAUAUUGGAAUAUACAAUAAUUAUGUAGCAUAGACACUUUAGAUUGAAGGCGUGUUCAUUGUCCAAUAACUGACACUUGUCAUUAUCGGACAUCAUAUUGACACACAUGUGGCUAGAUUCAAUUAUUUUAGUUUCUCCAAUUAUUAUUAAUAUUUAGAUUAAAUUGUACUUUUGGCCCUCUAACUUUAACAAAUUUGCGAUUUUGGCCUCCUAACUUUCAUGAUAACACUUUUGGCCCUUAACUUUAUUCCAUUUUGCAAAAGACUAACCCCCAACUGAUUUCGACCAAGUCAACGCACACAUGGACAAUGACUCACAUGUCACGUCAGCUUGUCUUCCCACAUAUGUUGACGUGGCAAGACAUGCUGACGUGAAACGUGAGUCACAUUCCAAGUGUGUGUUGAUUUGGUCAAAAUCAGUGCGUCAGCCUUUUGCAAAAGGCGCUAAAGUUAGCAGGGGCCAAAAGUGUUGUUAUGAAAAUUAGGGGACCAAAAUCACAAGUUUGUGAAAGUUAGGGGCCAAAAAUAUCUGUAUCGGUGUGUCAGUGCUUUAUAGAAUAUGAUUACUUUCUAAUAAGUUUGGAUUCUGAUAUAUAUGUUCAUUUUGAAGGCGGAAAUCAUGAAGGAGAUUCAAGAUGCACUAACUUCGGUCUUCUUUCACAACUUAUUUGCAAGCAUUUUGGCUUUAGGUGUAGGUUUAGUAGCUGAGACAAAUAGGAGUCUAUGGAAAAUAACACUGGACAUAUCACUGAUCUCUACUGUCUGCACUGUAAGAUAAGACGCCCCUAACAUUUUCUUUUCACUGACACAUGAAAUCUACAAACAAUAUGAAUUCAUACAUACUGUUAGUGUAAAGUUAUUUUACGUUAUCAAUCAAUUAUAACUGCCAGGCCAGAUCAUUAAACUUAUGUACUUAACUAAUGCAGAUUAUUGAUUAUGUUAUGAUGUAUUUAUUCUUAGGCAAUAUUUGGCAAGUUCCUAGGUAGUGCAAUAUAUGCUUGGGCAAUACACUUAAAGGGUCCUGUAUAUGUAACAUUGUUCAAGCCACUCUCAAUUGUUAUUGCUGUUGUUAUGGGGAUUCUUUUCCUUGGUGAUACUCUUCAUGUUGGAAGGUGAGUGAGUAUAUAUAGUUUUUAUAUUUGAUUCAAGUUUACAACAUGGGAAAGUAUAGAAAGUAAAUAAGAUUGAAGUUAAAUAAAAGAAGGUAAAUGAAAAUUUAUAUAAUAAGAAUUUUUAUGAUAGUAUGAAAGAAAAUAUUUCGGAAUUUAUGUGGCACGAUUGAUAUAUAUGUAUUAGGAUCUCUUGAGCAUGUUGUCAGAUGUUUCUUAUUGCAUCUAUUACGAGAGCCAACACGGUUUGACACUAUAAUUCUUAGAUGUUCGAUCUCAGGCUCAUGAAUAAGGAAAAUCCAUAGGCUAACCCCUUAAAUGCAUCUUAGUGCCGCGAGGGAUUAGUUUAUAUUGUAAUGGAUCCAAAUUACGGUUCACUUCAAGUAUAUAUAGGCUUAAAAAUGAAUUCCAAUGCAAAGAUAGAAUGUAAUUCGGGAAAACUUUGGAAAUUUAUGCAGAGAAAUAGGAAGAACCAGAAACUGUUAUGGUUUGUAACACUGCUGCAGUUUGUAGAAUUGGCCCAAAUUUUGACGGGGUUAAUGGUAGUGGAAGAUAAUGCUCAUUAGGAUCACCUUUGAAUGGUUUAAGCCAGAAAAUAUCGAACAUUGAGUGAAUUCUUGCGGAUUCAGAGAGCCGGAAAUGGGGUCUAAAGUAUCACAUACACAACUUUUGGUUCUUCCUUAAUGCAGUAGAGUAACGUGUAUAAGGCUCAACUUGGUUUCAGCCGCGAUGGCAUCUCGGCUGCACAGUAACUCCCGCGCAGAUGGUGGACCACUAGAGUAUAAGCCUUGGUUUCAAUCUCUACUACCAUAUAAGCCUUUCAGUGAGGACAUGCCAGAGUUCCAUCCAAUGCAACAUGUUGUAAUAGAAUGCUAGAGCAUCUCAAAUAAAUCUCCAAGCUUGUUUAAAGCCUCGGAUUGACCAUGAGAGUGGAAGUGAUAGGCCGGAGACAUGGCCACAUAUUGAAGACUUUAUCUCUAUCCGAGACAAUGGACUUGUAUAGGGCAUGUAAUUUCGCAAAGUGUUUGCUACUGCCUUGCUAGUGAAGUCAGAUUUCAACGCCAAGAAAACGACUAUACCAUGAUGGCAGUAAAUUCAUAAGAAAGUGGUAAUCCGGUGAUGAAAUCCAUAGCCACAUCUUCUUUCACCUGCUAGGGUAUUGACUAUGGCUGUAAAAGCCCUGCAGUUUUAAGACCCUAAAAUCGGUACAAAACCUUCAACUACCAAUUUACCAUGUUUCUUCCUUGACAAGUAAAAUGAGAGAAGAUAAUUUUUUAUGCAAAAGUUAAGUCUUUUUAUUCUUUAAACAAUGUUCAAAGCACGCCGACUCUCCUUUCGUCAUAAGGCGUGGAAUUGUUAGUAUGAUUCUUUUUAUUUGUUUAACAUUGGCAUUUCAUUGUGCAGUAUAAUUGGAGCCACAAUAAUAUCAAUUGGAUUUUAUACUGUAAUGUGGGGAAAAGCAACUGAAGAGAAGGAAGAUGGUUUUGGUAGCAAGGAAUCACAACCUAUUGAGAAUGUUCCUCUCUUGCAAGAUUAUCAAACUCUCAAAUCAUAAAAAGAAAACAUGCAAGUAGAUUAUCAAACUGUUUUAUUUAGUCGCAACAGUUAUUUCCGUAAUUUUUAUUCACUCUAUAAAAACGGUAACGGACACCACUGAUACAGUUUUAUUCCGUUUCUACGGACAUUUUUUAUAUAAUAACAGACCGUUACUAAUACCGUGAUCUAAAAAAUAUGAACCGGCAGGUUCACAUCAACCAUACUUGGCGUGAAGGAAACAAAUUGGCUGAUUGACUAGCUUACUUUAAUCUGUCUUUAAACUCUUUUGAUUUGCAUGUUUUGGAGGGUUCCUCCUAGAGAUCUUCAAAGACUCAUUUUUUAUGACAUAUCCGGCGCUUGUAAGCGUCGGAGUGUGCCUUUUAACUUUGUAAUUUACUAAUUUUCCUUUUUCCUUCUUGGGCACUCUGCCCCCUUUGUUUACCAAAAAAGAAAAAUCUUGAUUAUAUUUAAUCUUUUUAUAUAUAAUUAAUUAUUCACUUGGUCUUUUCACAUUUACAAAUGCCACUCUAUUAUUAAUAAUCACGUUGCAGAUUUUUAGUAACAACUACUUGAGUCAUUCCAAUUCAACUGAUUUUGCAUUAAUUUAGGGAGCUAUACCUUAGAACAAAAAAAUUGGAACGUGCCUUUUUUGUAGCAACACCCCUUCAAUAUUAUCUUAGUAUUUAUCAUUAAUAAUAAAAUUAUAUAUCCCUAGAGUUGAUUAGACUAUAGUAUAAGGUAUCUGGGUUUGUACACAACAAUAUAAUUACAACUAUAUGGUGAUGUUGUAUACUCACUAGUUGCAAUAAACAACAAAAUAUAUUUGAUUUCAUGAAGUGAUACACAAAUUAAGAAACACAAUUAAUUUUAUAUGGAAGACAUAAAUAAAUUAUAAUUUAGUGAAAAAAAAUAUUUGAGCAGACAUCUGAUUCAACUAACAAUUCAGAAAUUAUUAGAAUAAAGACCUUCAUCCGGGUUCGAAUCCGAGAUAUUUGUUUGUAGAUAAGAAGAAAAUAAAUAAAAAAAUUAUCUGAAUUGUCAUUUUCACCAUUGCUUGUAAAAUUUAAUUUGCUAUCGUGGACCCAUUUUGAGCACAAAUUAAUUAUUCAUAUGUUAUAUGCAAACAGACAAUACCAUGAAAAAGUUUUAAGAUAUUUUGGCCAAACCAAUAUGAAAAACUAUUAUUAUUAUUAUAAUACUAUUAUCCAUUUAAGGCUAAACAUCUUUAACUUUGGUUCUGUUUUUCUAGUCACAAAACCAAAACCAUAUCAUAAUUAACAUGUCUCAGAAAUUCUAAACAUCAACAGAAACUUUUGAUUGUUUGUUGUAACAGAACUGACAGAAAACAUGACAAGAAGAUGGUCCUUUUACAUGGAUUUUCUGCCAGUUGUAGUGAUUAUAGGAAAUGAAUGUAUUGACAUGGGUUUAUUGACUUUGUUCAAAGCAGCAACACUUCAAGGAAUGAAUAAUCAUGUCUUUAUUGCUUAUGCUUAUGCUGUUGGUACUUCUGUUCUUCUCCCUGUCACUCUUUUCACCAGAAGGUUCAUAUUAGUUGUUUAUUUAUUGUAACAUCAUAAACAAACAACAUAUGCAUAUAAUUUAGUGUCUGUUUAUUGACGGUGAGUUUGGCAGAAUCACAGUGCUCCACCGAUCGAUAUUAUGGAGUCACUAUGAUUUCGUCAAAUUGACCGUGAUUUCAAACAUGCCCUUAGGACUUAUAUUUCAGUUGACUAAUUUUUUGAUGUUUUUCUUAUCAUGUCUUUUUGCAGGUCAAGAGUGGUUCCUCCAAUCAGUUUCUCAAUUAUAUGGAAAAGUGUGCUUCUUGGGGCACUAGGGUAAUGACAAAAUGGUCUCAUACUUUACUUUACACCAAUAAUUGGUUGUUAAGUCAUUUUUUUCCUGCUAAUCUAUUGUACCUUUAACCUUCAUUAGGCGUCUGAAGGUAUCUCUACGACUUAUGUCUUUUGAGUUUUGAGCAUAGUCCACAGUGAGAGUGAGACAUCCAAUUUUUUUUUUACGAGAGGUUGAACUGUUGUCUAAAUAGACGAUUUUAGGGGUUGAAUUCAUGUUCUUCUCCUGAGAGAGAGUCGUUGUUAAGGCCUUUUGGUCCCUGUUUGGAUAAAUAGCUUAUUUGCAGCUUAUAACAGAAGCACUUAUCAAAAUAGGACAAACGCUUAUCAUUAUAAGAACUUAUGUAUAAGUCUACUAUAAGUUGUUUUCAUAAGCUAUCUUAUAAAACGUGUGAAAAUAAGCUGAAAAAAGCUUAUGAAUAAUACCACAAACUGUUCUCGUAAGUUCUACCAAGCAGUCGUACAAAACUAAUGUCAUUAGAUAAGCUCAAAUAAGCCAAUCCAAACAGGCGCUUAGUAUACUAGUAAUUUUGUUAUAGCUAGUUUUGAUGUGAUGUUAGAUAGUUAAGGCCAAAGGGGUGUCAUUAAUUUUAUGCUUCUAAUGAUUUGUGUUUCAUGUUUUGAAAUUGUAUGGGCCUGUUAUGCAGAUGCACAUCUCAGAUUCUGGGGUAUAUUGGUAUUAGUUACAGUUCUCCAACACUUGCUUCAGCAAUUGGUAAUCUGAUACCUGCUUUCACUUUCAUGUUAGCUGUUACUUUCAGGUUUGAUUUUAGCAGAUUCUUACCCUUUUAAACUAGUUAGUUAUUUCAUUUUUUUUACUCAAUUAAAUUUUGCAUUUCUUUUCUUGCACUCAGUGAAAUGUCCUAGAAACUUUUCUUUUUUUGUAAAGCAUGUAUUAGAGUGCAGAAGCAUCGAAAAAUAGAGAUAACAAACUAGGGUAGAUUAGGCCAAAACCCAAGGCAACGCACAAGAUAUACAAAAGCAGCUGCUUCGUUAAAAACCUUACCAGGAAAAUCAAGUGAGAUAAAACCUCGGAGAAGGGCCUAACCUAUUACAAUUAAAAUCCUCCUUAAUAGAAUUUAGAAUGUUAUCCCACCAAGCAAAGCUUGGGAUGAAGUGACCAAUAUUAGCCGCCUUGUCGGCACAAAAAUCCCUUUAUCAAAAUAUGAGACCUUAAAAUACAUUUAGCUAAGUAAGUGUAAACAAUUCGGGAAUGAUACUAGGUUUCUUGAAUGCCAAGUUAACCAACUGUGAAUCUGUUUCUAACCAAAAGUCAGUCCAGCCCUUCUUAACAGAAUAACUUAGUUAAGAUUUGAAUAAGUUAUAUUAAACUUAGUCUAUUGUCGACUUAUUUUGUUUUCUCUAAUCAUUGCAAUUAAGGAUGGAAAAGUUAUCUGCAAAGAGUAGAAGUAGUAAUGCAAAGGUAAUGGGAAGCAUAAUCUCAAUAGCAGGUGCUUUUGUGUUGACUUUCUACAAAGGACCACCCAUCUUGCAAUCCUCCUAUACUCAUAUUUCCUCACCAAUUCAUCAACCAGUUGAAUUUCUCAAGUCAGUGGAUUCAAGUUGGGCCAUUGCUGGUGUUCUGCUAACAGUUGACUAUUUUAUGGGUUCAAUAUGGUACAUUUUACAGGUAAAAUUAGUAUUGUGAAAAAAAUCGAACCGAAAAACACCAAUCUGUGAUCAACAGUAACUGACUAUACCAGUUUGGUUCAAUUUGUGAACUAGUUCAAUUUAUGAACUAUUUGUCACAGUUUGGUACUUUUCUGUGCGAUGUGGUUUGGUUUAACAGUUCAGUUUUUGUUUUAUUUUUCAUCUGUCCUAAUUAUCGGUUACAAUUACAAAGAACUAGUUUGGUUUGAAAAAAUUCAGUUAGGUUUUUUGUAAAGUUAGUUCUGGUUCGGUUAAAAACUGCAGAACCGGUGGACCAAAUUUUUAUACCAGUUUUGUUCCUGGAUGAACCAUUAACGGUUCAAUUCAGUUUUUCCGAACUGUUAUAAUAGUUCGAUUUCCUUCCUGAACAGUGAACCAAACCAUGAAUAGUCCUACCUAUGAAACACCAAUACAAACACUAGCAUAACAUUGACACAUAGACACCACUGUUACAAUAGUUCUGUAAUUAUUUCUUUCCAUCACUCCACGCGAAUUUCACUCAAUAUCAAAUACUAUACUGAAAAGUGUGUUACAAGAAACNNNNNNNNNNNNNNNNNNNNNNNNNNNNNNNNNNNNNNNNNNNNNNNNNNNNNNNNNNNNNNNNNNNNNNNNNNNNNNNNNNNNNNNNNNNNNNNNNNNNNNNNNNNNNNNNNNNNNNNNNNNNNNNNNNNNNNNNNNNNNNNNNNNNNNNNNNNNNNNNNNNNNNNNNNNNNNNNNNNNNNNNNNNNNNNNNNNNNNNNNNNNNNNNNNNNNNNNNNNNNNNNNNNUGAGUUUUGUUAUUGAUGACACAUUUUUUUCCAGGGCAUUUUUGGAAAGUUAGUAGGAAAUAUAGUUUCUGCUUGGGCAUUGCACUUAAAGGGAGCUGUCUAUGUAACCUCAUUCAAGCCGCUGCAAAUUAUCAUUUCUGUUGGCUUGGGAAUUAUAUUUCUUGGUGAUACUCUUUGUUUAGGAAGGUAUGAUUCAUUCAACUUUUGCAUUUGAUUGUUGGUUGAAACAUGGGGAAGCAAAUACUCUCUCUGGUCUCGUAUAUAAGCAAAGAUUCCUUUUUUAGGUUCAUUGAAUAACCCGUAAAUGAACCUAAAAAGGGAAUCUUUCCUUUUAUAUGAGACGGAGGGAGUAUAUACAAGGUGUCCACCAGGUAGGCCUGUUCAUCGUUCAGUUAAAAAAGAAACCAAAUUGAAUCAUUACAACGGUUUGAUAAAACUCAACCAAACCGAACUGGUAAAAAGGUUCAGCGCACCAAUUUUGUUGGUUGAAACAUGGUGAAGCAAAUAAAUAAGGCUUCCAUUAGGUAGGAUUGUUUAUGGUUCGGUUCAAAAGACAAACCAAAUUGAACUGUUACAACAGUUUGAUAAAACUCAACCGAACCAUUUAUAGUUUGUUGUCCUGAACUGAAUUGAUAUAAAGGUUGUAUACCGAUUUUGUGGCAUUGUUCUUUCUCAUUUUUUAUUUUCCAAUGAUAUGGUUUUUGAAGUGUUCAUUUAUGUAUAUUCUUUCUUGAUUUUGCAGUAUAAUUGGAGCAACAAUAAUCUCAAUUGGUCUUUAUGGUGUAUUGUGGGGCAAAGCAUCAGAAGAGAUAGAGGAAGAUGUUGAUAUCUUGGAGUCACCAUCUACAGAGAAUGCGCCUCUUUUGCAAAGCUAUAGAACUGAAACUUUUGAAAAGACAAAAGAUGGAAAUGUUUAAAAACAUGGUUAUUUAAUCGAGAUUUCAUCAUGAACCAAAAGCCAUAUACGUCGAAUCAUGAAUCGUAAGAUACAUGUGCAAUGAAUAU